AAGAUGGACAACCCUCCGAGUACACAGGACAUGUCCUACUAUGAUCAUGUUCAGAAGCGCCAUGAGGAGAAAGGCUGCUUAUAUGCAUGGUGUGGUACAUCUACUUCCUCUCCGGCAAAGCUUUCUUACAAAACAUUUCCAGCACCUAUCGUUAUUAAGGCCCCAGUUUGGUGAGGGACUGCCAUUCAGGGAGCCUGUUUACACUGUGCUGUUGCUUCUGCUGCUACGAGACCUGCGAGUGCUGCAUGGAGUCCUUGUGCUGCUGCGGCUAAUUUUAGCUGGAU